UACGUAGGGGGCGAGCGUUGUCCGGAUUCAUUGGGCGUAAAGCGCGCGCAGGCGGUUGGCAGAGCCCGGCGUGAAAGCCCCCAGCUCAACUGGGGGAGGCCGUCGGAGACCUGUCGACUUGAGGCCGGUAGGGGAGAGCGGAAUUCCCGGUGUAGUGGUGGAAUGCGUAGAUAUCGGGAGGAACACCAGUGGCGAAGGCGACUUUCUGGCCUGUUCUUGACGCUGAGGCGCGAAAGCUAGGGGAGCAAACGGG
rnacentral:rRNA from 1 species